rnacentral:rRNA from 1 species
AGAGUUUGAUCAUGGCUCAGAAUCAACGCUGGCGGCGUGCCUAAUACAUGCAAGUCGAACGCGAAAGUGGAGCAAUCCAUGAGUAGAGUGGCAAACGGGUGAGUAACGCGUGGGUGACCUGCCUUCGAGCGGGGGAUAACGUUCCGAAAGGGACGCUAAUACCGCAUAACAUCCUGCUUUUGAACAAGCGGAGAUCAAAGCUGGGGAUCGCAAGACCUAGCACUCGAAGAGGGGCCCGCGUCCGAUUAGCUAGUUGGUGAGGUAACGGCCCACCAAGGCAACGAUCGGUAGCCGGCCUGAGAGGGCGGACGGCCACACUGGGACUGAGACACGGCCCAGACUCCUACGGGAGGCAGCAGUAGGGAAUUGUUCGCAAUGGGCGCAAGCCUGACGACGCAACGCCGCGUGGAGGAUGAAGAUUUUCGGAUCGUAAACUCCUUUCGAUCGAGACGAAUAGCUUCCGGGUGAACAAUCCGGAAGAAUGACGGUACCGAGAGAAGAAGCCCCGGCUAACUCCGUGCCAGCAGCCGCGGUAAUACGGGGGGGGCAAGCGUUGUUCGGAAUUACUGGGCGUAAAGGGCUCGUAGGCUGCCAACUAAGUCAGACGUGAAAUCCCUCGGCUUAACCGGGGAACUGCGUCUGAUACUGGAUGGCUUGAGUGUGGGAGAGGGAUGCGGAAUUCCAGGUGUAGCGGUGAAAUGCGUAGAUAUCUGGAGGAACACCGGUGGCGAAGGCGGCAUCCUGGACCAUUACUGACGCUGAGUGAGCGAAAGCCAGGGGAGCGAACGGGAUUAGAUACCCCCGUAGUCC